CCUACGGGGGGCUGCAGUGGGGAAUAUUGGACAAUGGGGGCAACCCUGAUCCAGUCAUGCCGCGUGUGUGAAGAAGGCCCUCGGGUUGUAAAGCACUUUCAGUGAGGAAGAACGCCUGGUGGUUAAUACCCAUCAGGAAAGACAUCACUCACAGAAGAAGCACCGGCUAACUCCGUGCCAGCAGCCGCGGUAAUACGGAGGGUGCGAGCGUUAAUCGGAAUUACUGGGCGUAAAGCGCGCGUAGGUGGCUUGAUAAGCCGGUUGUGAAAGCCCCGGGCUCAACCUGGGAACGGCAUCCGGAACUGUCAAGCUAGAGUGCAGGAGAGGAAGGUAGAAUUCCCGGUGUAGCGGUGAAAUGCGUAGAGAUCGGGAGGAAUACCAGUGGCGAAGGCGGCCUUCUGGACUGACACUGACACUGAGGUGCGAAAGCGUGGGUAGCAAACAGGAUUAGAUACCCUAGUAGUC
rnacentral:rRNA from 1 species